AUGCAAGCUUUCCAUUAGUUCAACCACAUGGCUGGUUAGAAUUUUGGGGACUUAAACUCUGCGGUCGUCGCGCUCAUCACCAAAAAAGACGGAGCUGAUUGCGUUAGUGACUUCAGGCCGAUCAGCCUAAUCCAGUCCAUAGCCAAACUGAUCUCCAAGGUGCUCUCCAUCCGCCUCGCUACGGUAGUGCAAUCCAUCGUCUCGCCAGCCCAGACGGCUUUCCUGAAGACUAGAUGCCUGCAUGAAAGCUUCGUCUACGUCCAAAACUGCGUCAAGGGCCUUCACCGCCGUAAGACACCGGUCGUACUCCUCAAGCUUGGCAUAUCUAGAGCUUUCAACAAUGUAUCCUGGGAGUACCUUCUAGAGCUGUUGAUGAUGCUAGGGUUUAGCGCUCGAUGGAGGGACUGGAUCUCGCUUCUGCUCACCACCUCCUCCUCGGCCUUCCUGCUAAACGGAUCACCUCGCACGAAGAUAGUGCAUCACCGAGGGCUGCGCCAGGGUGACCCGCUGUCCCCCUCCUCUUCAUCAUUGCAAUUGAUCCAAUCCACCGCCUGCUUCAAGCCUCCGAUGAUGCGCUCAAGAUCAUGCCAGUGCCAAGAAGAGAGGUCAAGUUCAGGGUUAGCUUAUACACCGACGAUGCAAUAA
rnacentral:rRNA from 1 species